UUCGUACAGUAGUGGCAGUCUCAUAACCAAUGAAGUUAAUCUGAGGUGUGAUUAUUGCUAGUUGAAAACUUAUCCUUAGAUGGUACUUCCAGAAAUGAUGUCACACAAUAUGGCUGUUAGGCAAGCCACAGGGCU
ensembl:snRNA U4 U4 spliceosomal RNA